CAAACUGAGAAUUCAGACAUAUUUGAAAGGCAACCACUAAUGCCCUCUAAAAAUUGGAGGUAUAACUGACUCUAGGAGCAAAACUACGAAGUUGACAUUAUCACAGAUCCACCAAAAAUGAAUGGAUCAAAAGGAGAUGUAACUAGGGGAUGAGAGCAGGUAUAUACAAUUCAGUCAUGCAGUUUUCCUUUUAAUGCUGGCAAAACAUUUCACUGCAACAAGCUCUUCACUAUUCUUGAUAACAUUUAAUGAGAUGGAUCCUUUUGAUGACAACCUACAUUAUAUUUUGGUAUACUUUUAUUUCAUCCCACCCUUAAGUAUUUCUUUAGACCACAUGAUUUUCUUCAUGAUUUAAGGAAACCUAAAUACUUAAAGUAUACUAUCUCAGAAGAAGAUGAAAACAAAUAAAAUAAGGCUUGAUGGAAACCUAAUUCAUAGCUUCACAACAAUUUCAUUAAAAUUAAU